CGCAUUCAGUUGCCAUCGGGUGAAGCCGGGCACUCUGGAAGGACUGCCAUCGACAAGAUGGAGGAAGGUGGGGACGGACGUCAAGUCAUCAUGGCCCUUAUGUCCAGGGCGACACACGUGCUACAAUGGCCGGCACAACGGGAAGCGAGUUCGCGAGGACGAGCGGAUCCCUUAAAGCCGGUCGCAGUUCGGAUUGAAGUCUGCAACUCGACUUCAUGAAGCUGGAAUCGCUAGUAAUCGCAGAUCAGCCAAGCUGCGGUGAAUACGUUCCCGGGCCUU
rnacentral:rRNA from 1 species